rnacentral:rRNA from 1 species
GAUGAACGCUGGCGGCGUGCUUAACACAUGCAAGUCGAACGAUGAAGCCCAGCUUGCUGGGUGGAUUAGUGGCGAACGGGUGAGUAACACGUGAGUAACCUGCCCUUAACUCUGGGAUAAGCCUGGUAAACUGGGUCUGAUACCGGCUAGGAGCGUCCACCGCAUGGUGGGUGUUGGAAAGAUUUAUCGGUUUUGGAUGGACUCGCGGCCUAUCAGCUUGUUGGUGAGGUAAUGGCUCACCAAGGCGACGACGGGUAGCCGGCCUGAGAGGGUGACCGGCCACACUGGGACUGAGACACGGCCCAGACUCCUACGGGAGGCAGCAGUGGGGAAUAUUGCACAAUGGGCGAAAGCCUGAUGCAGCGACGCCGCGUGAGGGAUGACGGCCUUCGGGUUGUAAACCUCUUUCAGUAGGGAAGAAGCGAAAGUGACGGUACCUGCAGAAGAAGCACCGGCUAACUACGUG